rnacentral:rRNA from 1 species
GAUGAACGCUGGCGGCGUGCCUAAUACAUGCAAGUAGAACGCUGAAGCUUGGUGCUUGCACCGAGCGGAUGAGUUGCGAACGGGUGAGUAACGCGUAGGUAACCUGCCUCUUAGCGGGGGAUAACUAUUGGAAACGAUAGCUAAUACCGCAUAAAAGUCGAUAUCGCAUGAUAUUGAUUUGAAAGGUGCAAUUGCAUCACUAAGAGAUGGACCUGCGUUGUAUUAGCUAGUUGGUGAGGUAACGGCUCACCAAGGCAACGAUACAUAGCCGACCUGAGAGGGUGAUCGGCCACACUGGGACUGAGACACGGCCCAGACUCCUACGGGAGGCAGCAGUAGGGAAUCUUCGGCAAUAGGGGCAACCCUGACCGAGCAACGCCGCGUGAGUGAAGAAGGUUUUCGGAUCGUAAAGCUCUGUUGUAAGAGAAGAACGAGUGUGAGAGUGGAAAGUUCACACUGUGACGGUAACUUACCAGAAAGGGACGGCUAACUACGUG